CAAGGAAUGGGCAUGGGAGCGGGACAAGCGGCCAGAGAGGGGCUUUCGCUGCAGGUUCCUCUAUGGCCACUACCACUUCCUGGCAGUGAGAAGAGAACGGCAAGUGGUUUCCUCACCCGAUUGCCCUCGUUCCCGAGACGCCGCGCCGAAUCGGUGUAGAACUGCAGGAACCUCUCCAGCUGCGACAGGUCCUAGUGGGACGCGUGUCCCUUGCCCCAAGCCCCUUUCAGGAGGGAGAGGCCACGACGGAACGCCCGGCUCACCCACGGCUCAACGCCCGGCUCACCCACGGCUCG